rnacentral:rRNA from 1 species
GAAUCUUCCACAAUGGACGAAAGUCUGAUGGAGCAAUGCCGCGUGAGCGAAGAAGGUUUUCGGAUCGUAAAGCUCUGUUGUAAGGGAAGAACACGUACGGGAGUAACUGCCCGUGCCAUGACGGUACCUUAUUAGAAAGCCACGGCUAACUACGUGCCAGCGGCCGCGGUAAUACGUAGGGGGCAAGCGUUGUCCGGAAUUAUUGGGCGUAAAGGGUGCGUAGGCGGCUUUUUAAGUCAGAUGUGAAAGACCACGGCUUAACCGUGGGGUUGCAUUUGAAACUGGAAGGCUUGAGUAUCGGAGAGGGUAGUGGAAUUCCCAGUGUAGCGGUGAAAUGCGUAGAUAUUGGGAGGAACACCAGUGGCGAAGGCGACUACCUGGACGAAAACUGACGCUGAUGCACGAAAGCUAGGGGAGCAAAC